rnacentral:rRNA from 1 species
CAGUAGCCGCGGUAAUACGAAGGGUGCAAGCGUUACUCGGAAUUACUGGGCGUAAAGCGUGCGUAGGUGGCGGUUUAAGUCCGUUGUGAAAGCCCUGGGCUCAACCUGGGAAUUGCAGUGGAUACUGGGUCACUAGAGUGUGGUAGAGGAUAGUGGAAUUUCCGGUGUAGCAGUGAAAUGCGUAGAGAUCGGAAGGAACAUCUGUGGCGAAGGCGACUAUCUGGGCCAACACUGACACUGAGGCACGAAAGCGUGGGGAGCAAACAGGAUUAGAUACCCGCGUAGUCCCUGUCUCUUAUAC